rnacentral:lncRNA from 1 species
GGCACUAUUGGCUCCCAGGCAUUUCUAAGCGGAAGCAGCAUCCUGAGGAAGUCAGUCUGUUUGAGGAUUUUCUCAUGCUUUGUCCUUUCCAAGCCUUAAACGUCAUUGUGUAUUCGUGCAGCAGAAACACACCAGAUAGAAAAAGCUGGGAGCAAAACGACCUAACAAGGGGCAGAAACAUCAAGGGGCAUGACAAUGCCACAAGACCUGAGACAGAAUUUCCAGAGUGACUUUACAUUCUGAAGAUCCACCCAGGCUCAGGGGACUCCUCAGCUCUACUUAUGGAAGUGAAAACUCACCCUUGGAGCUGCCCAGGAAGCAAAUGCAGUGGCUUUUUCCCCCUGGAAAAUCGACCCAUGUUGAAGUUUGCCAUACAAUGAGUAUAGCAGCAUGCUGCCAUUCAUUUAAUUAAAAAUAGCAAAAAUGCACCGGGCUCUCAAUCAUCUAUGUUCCCAACAAGAAACUGCGCUGAGACAAUCUUCAAAAUGGCACAUCCCUCACCGCCGAGAUUAUCUCUAUUCCUGAACAUGAAUGGCAAAGAAAAGAAGCCAAGGCCAGAAGGAAAAGGGAAACCCUUCAGACCACACAGGUGUUUUUUCAUGGAUUAAUUUACAUCAGGAGACUUUCAGCAAAGCAGAGUAUCCUCCAUGAUGUGAGUGGGCCUCAUCCCAUCAUUUGAAGUCCUUAAGGAAAAGACUGACCUUCCUUGAGCCAGAGGGAAUGUUCCCAGCAGAUGGUCUUUAGACUCAAAGACAACUUCCCUAAGUCCCCAGCCUGCCAGCUAAACCUGCACUGUGGGAACUUGCCAGCCCCACAAUGGCAUGAGCCAAGUCCUCAAACUAUACUUCUCAUCCUCUCUCGAAUGUUGAAUUUUGUUAUGAAAAAUACCUGGGUCACCUAGGAUAGGAUGCUAACAUCUGUCCUUUCUAGACGGUGGUUGUAGUGGGUUGAAUAGUGUCCCCCCGCAAAAAAAAUACAUCCACCCAUAACCUGUGAAUGUGAUGAUAUUUGGAGUCUUUGCAGACAUAAUUAAGUUGGGGAUUGGAGAUGAGAUCAUCUUGGAUCAGAGUGGACCCUAAAUCCAAUGACAAGUGCUUACCAUCACAGACUCCAGUUUUGCUUCGAAAAUUCUGAAACUAUUCUAAAAAAAUAUGUUAAUGUAUUUGAGAGAAAAUGAAGACACAACAUAAAGGUGUGAUGACUCUAUCUGACCUGCACAGCAGCUCUUAAGCAGCCCUUGUCCCUCUUGGGUAGAAUAAAUUUAUACAGUAGAAUGUAUACAUUCUAGUUUAUACAUUAGAAUAUGGUCUUAGACCUUCCCGCCAGUCCUCUCACCCUCUCUCCCUCACUUUAGCAAUGCUGGAAGCCAGGGGCUCCAGACGGCCCAGCUACAAGAUGGAAGUGGCAAGGAUCCCGCUCACCCGAGGAGAGUUGGCCUGGAGAGCUGCCUGACCCAGCCUUUAAUGAGCAAGAGGUAAACUUUUCUUACGUCACUGAGACCUUGGGGUUUGUUUCCACAGCAUGACCUGUUUUUCCUGACUCAUACAAGCCCCUGGAAGCAUCUGACUCACUAAUCCAUUGACCUUCUCUAACAUCAGCAUUUACGGAUCCUGCCAUCAAAAUUCUUCAUUCAUUAUGAGGGCUCAGUCAGUUCUCCUUAGGAUUAUUAAACCAUUAGUAAAAGUGCAUUAAAAUCAGCUUAUAAUCUCUUCCAGUGGGAUUUCACAAAUAUCACUCCAUAGCCAAAUGGUUUACCGUUCUCUUCUGACUCAGAAAAGCAUAUUGUAAUUAGAACACUUUUUGCACAAUAAUAAAAACAAAACAGCUUUCACAGGUUGCGCUGGAUGUCAAACGUGGGUAAACCACUCAAUUUUGAGCUCAGCUUGGCACAGGUUUAUUUAUUUACAGGCACUUCAAAAAGAAGGGGGUAGGCCACAUCUACAUAGCCCAGGGUGUGGAGCGUGGAUGUGUCUGUCUGUUUGUUAUGACUAAGUCUUGCUCAGUCCUAAUUCUUCCUGGUCAAAAAUUGUUAUUUUUAAAAGACUCCUUGAACACAAAACCCUUCAGAUGUGAUGGAGAUGUGGCCAAGGGAAGCAGGGAAGUGUGGUGAUGUUGUGAUGUGAAUGCAGGCUCUGAGCCCAGAUCCCAAAUCCUGACACCCACCAGCAGCUGUGCAUGUUUGAACUUAUGAACCCAUUUCCGCAGGUGGAAAAUGGGUGAGUAAGCUUACCCUCGGCCUUGUCAGGAACAUGAGAAGGCCUCAGUAGGGAGCCUGGCUAGUCCUGCCCCCAGGCUUAGCGGCGGCUCUUCCUGAAGUCCUGCUGACCGGAAGGAACGUCACAAACAUCUCCUGCCCACAGGUGAAGGAGGCCUGGGGAAGAUGGAGGAGGCGGCCCAUCUCUAGGCACCUUCCACGGAACACUGGCCCCCACACGCCAACCGUGCAACAGCCCCGUCCUGGCAGCUGAUCCCUUAGCUGUCCGGGAAUUCCAAGCACAUCUUUGGAAGAGCUAGUUGGGUCCUUUCUGGGGGCAUGGAAAGGAGGACCAAGGUCUUAUCUGACUGAGGUGAGGAGCAGACACCACGGGGAGUAGGGAAAGAGAAAACUGCAGCCCAGAAGGCGCUUCCUUUACAGAAUCCCGAGGCCAACUCAGGCAAAUGUCAAGAGCAGGAAAAGCCACCAACUUCAAUUCAAUUAAAUGCAUAGGACCGACUUUCAAGAAGGAAUAAUCUGGGUAUUGACAAGCUUGAAUUCAAGUUAAUGCAAGAGAGAGAGGUCUUGAAGGACAUUCAUUAAACUGUUCCUGGUUAUCCCUGGACGGCGGCAGUUGGGGUGAUGUUCACGUUUAUUUUACAAAAGCAAUUAAGCUACUUUGAAUAAAGGAGGAAAAGGAAACAUGAAAGAAGUACCCAAGUUCUGAGUCAGAGAUCUGACUUCAAAUCCCAAUUCCACCACCACCAGCUGUGACCAUGAGUGGUCCCAGCAUUAAUGAGGGCCUCAGUUUCUGCAUCUGCGGAACGGGAAUAACAGUAUCUACCUCCUAGGAUUAUCAAAGCUUAAAGUGGAUAAUUUAGGAUAUGCCAAACAUCUGGAAUCGGGCUCAAAAAGUGGUAAAGAAUUUUGAAGAUAUUUUUCUUUAACACUCCAAAACAACUUUCAGGGAAAGUCAUUUUUCAUGGAAGGUGCUGACUUUAUUGGAGACUGACCAUCUCCUCAUCACAGUCUACUCCAGAAAAAUCAGAGGGAGGUGGGGAAUGUUGUACCCAACUUUCUAAUGUCUCUAAGACGUGGGUGGCAAGGGUAGGCUGUUAGCACUCCAGAAUAACGUUGCUAUGCACCCAUUCAGGGCUUAGCCUCACAGCCAAACUGAGAUCCAGACCCCAGAGAAGCCGCGUGAAUCAACAGCAACUCUGCAGCCCCCGACCCCAGCCCUGGCGUCCCACUCACUGAGGCUCUGGCCAGGUGGCGGUGACUCAAACCUUCUCCAUUUUAACUUGGCAUCUCAGAGCUUCUGGACAGAGUCCACAAAUACAUGAGACAAAAAUAGGCCAGCAUACCCUCCCUUGCCAGGCCCUCAUUGUUGAGGGAUGAGAUGAGGGCUGGGCAAGCGGUUACACAGCCGAAACCAGGGCCCUAGAACCCAGCUCUGCCAGCAUGGGCGCCCCACAGCUCUGCCCACAGCGUCUGCUCUUUAUUCUUGGUUUCUCCUCUCCUUCUCUUCCACUUCCCAUUCUUUGUGAUCCAUCUUUUUCCAAAAGUUGACAGGUUGGCUGGAGACAAUUCCCCCUGCCAGCUUUUCUGUCUUUUCCACCUUUAGUUUAAGUUGUCCAUGAGGGCUGGUGAUCCAUUUUCGGUCCUCCAUACCUUCCUGGGCAAUCCCUCUGGGCCCUCACACCUCCACGCCCUCCACCCUCCCAGCUCCUUCCUCCCGGGGCCUCGAGCUUUUCCCUUUUUUCAUCCUCUGUGCACUGUUUCACCCCGACAUGUAUGUUAUUGUUUGACUGUGGCAUCAGCCAUUCUUGGAGACUUUUCCCAGGGCUUGCAAUUUUGUAGCAGAGAGAGAUUUUCUAUCUAAAGCAAAAUGCUGGUCUUGUUUAAAUAAAUAAUAAGAUAAAAGAAUCAGGCACUGUAGGGGUAUUUGGCCCACAGCCAUCCUGUCUCAGCAGGGUCCUUUUCAUUGAGGGAAGCAUUUUUCAUAUCCAUAAUUUGCCCCUUUCUCUAACCCAGGGUGCACGCUGCCGUGGCCCUUGGUGACAAUGUCCCCUGUGGCCUUCCUCCAAAGCUUGCUCCAGCAAGCUCUGACAUGGUGUCCUCCCUCCCCUUCUGGGCUGCGGCUUCUCCAACCUCCCCCAGCUCCUGCAGACAGAGGAGAAACAGCAAGUCACAAGAUAAGACAAAGACCCUCUAGGCCAGGCCACUCCUCGCUGCCACUCUGGGACAGCAAGGCAAAACGCAGACGGCCCCAGCUCUGGACGCCUCUCCUCCUCUGGACCCUAACCCUAACCCUAAGCCACUGGAACACUCACGGGAGAAAGCUGGACCUGCUUUGAGGCUCACCUCCCUGCAUGCACAUCCAUCCGGCUUCUCUCAAGAAGCAACCUGGUGUCUGA